rnacentral:rRNA from 1 species
GAUCAGGUAGGGUUACCCGCUGAACUUAAGCAUAUCAAUAAGCGGAGGA